rnacentral:rRNA from 1 species
AGCAGCCGCGGUAAUUCCAGCUCCAAUAGCGUAUAUUAAAGUUGUUGUGGUUAAAAAGCUCGUAGUUGAACCUUGGGCCUGGCUGGCCGGUCCGCCUCACCGCGUGUACUGGUACGGUCGGGCCUUUCCCUCUGGGGAACCGCAUGCCCUUCACUGGGUGUGUCGGGGAACCAGGACUUUUACUUUGAAAAAAUUAGAGUGUUCAAAGCAGGCUUAUGCUCGGAUACAUUAGCAUGGAAUAAUAGAAUAGGACGUGCGGUUCUAUUUUGUUGGUUUCUAGGACCGCCGUAAUGAUUAAUAGGGACAGUCGGGGGCAUCAGUAUUCAAUCGUCAGAGGUGAAAUUCUUGGAUUGAUUGAAGACUAACUACUGCGAAAGCAUUUGCCAAGGAUGUUUUCAUUAAUCAGGAACGAAAGUUAGGGGAUCGAAGACGAUCAGAUACCGUCGUAGUCUUAACCAUAAACUAUGCCGACUAGGGAUCGGAUGAUGUUAAUUUUUUAAUGACUCA